GAUCUUGUAUUCAUUUUAUGAUUGUGGAUUGCAAGUCCGUAGGAGUGAUCUAUUGUCGCCAAGAUCU
rnacentral:tRNA from 1 species